UGGAAUUGGAAUUUAGACGUUUUAGUGUUCGUUUGCAAAUGCUUCCUUUUGCUAAUUGAUAAAAUUCCCGUUUUGAAAAACGUCGACUUUGAAAUUAGCUGAUACCUGCUCACACGGAGUUAAGGAAAUAAAAUAACGCUAUAUGGACAUGGAAAAAAACCACAUCAGUUCAGACUCUAUCUAUGAAUGGAUACAGUUUUGCACCACCGUGGCAGGAGUGGUAAUCCUGAUUAUUCUGCUCAUUGUCAAUCUUGUAUCAGUCAUACAAAGUCGGAAUGCCUAUCGCGUUAAUCAAACUUAUUUCUUGUCCUUUCAAAAUCGUCUAAUAUUGCCUCGUAAAUAUGACGAUAUUGAAAACCCCGACGAAACUAACGUACCCCAGUCCAAACAGCGUCACAUGACCGGAAACAACACCUUGGAGUACGACGAAAUCGAAAGCGUGCCCCUUAGAGGUCAGCCCAAGGACGAGGCUUCAACAUUUGACAGAAAUGAUCUUUAUUCGUUACAAAAAGAAAUAGUUGAUGGUGGUCUCUAAAUUUACAAAAUAUUUUGUUAUGAGAAUGGAUGGAAUCGUUAAGUGAAUUUGUCCUUUGACGAUAUCAUAAUUACUAAUCAUCUUCAUCCUUCGAGUUAAAUAUCAUAUCUCUUUCGGUUUCAACGUCAAGUAUUCUAAGUCAAAGGGUUUAAAUUCAAUGACUUUUUUGAUUGUGUGGGUAGACAAUUCUUGAUGUAUUACACUUUUAUGGAAGAACGCACUAUGAUCUAUGUCACAGUCCGAUUAUGGUUUUUCUUUUCUUUACAUGUACAUGUACAUAUAUAUGUAGAUCUAGAAUUGUAUUAUCAUACCUUGUCACGAAAUGCAUGGAAUGACUUAUAAAUCAAUGGUAUUACUGAUUUUUAUGCCCCCGAGAUCGGAGAUGGGGACAUAUCGUUUUUGUCCUGUCUGUCAUAAUGUAAUUCUGCCUGAAACAACCUUGCUAAUAAUUUUUGAACAGUAAGUGCUAGAGCUUUCAUAUUUCACACGAGUAUUCCUUGUGACAAGACCUCUCUGUGGGUACCAAUAUUUUUUACCCUUUGACCUUGGAGUUUGACCUACUUUUUAAAAAUUCUAACCUUGCUAAUAACUUUUGAACAGUAAGUGCUAGAGCUUUGAUAUUUCACAUGAGUAUUCCUUGUGACAAGAUACUAAAUUUUUUGACAUUGGCAUUUUACCUACUUUUAAAAACAUUGAGUCUGGUUCUUCUCAUCUUCGCUAGCCAAGGGUUUACGAUCCGCUCCGCUUCUCUACAAACCCUUGGCAGAUUUAGUGCGAUUUUCGUUGCCUGAACUUUAAGCAUAUGAUUGGACGCAGGGAAAGUCCACUGCUCAAUCAGAGAACCUGUUACGUUAGAUCACGUGCAAAACAAAGGAAUUUAAAUACCUACAACUGUCACUCGGCCGUGUAUUAAAUACAUAUCCAAACUAAUGAUGCCACGUGCGCAGUUCAGACUCGUAUCUGCGUAAAGAAGUGCAUUUUAUUUACUACAGUACCGUACCAUAAAUUUAAUAUCAAACAUCUCUUGUAAUUCGUUGUUUUAUGUUCUCCAUCCCAGAUUUAGACAGUUGCGUCAGAGCUAUUUUCCUCAAUUUGGAAUUCACCUUACAAACGUGGGGUUAUUUUUAGGCGUAGACUCAACUACAUAUAUUUCAUGGGUUUACACAUGUUUAUUUUCUAUAAAUAAUAUUCUCACUGAUUUCUUUUUCAAGUAUGCAAUUAAGAGAUAGUUACAUUUUUAUUAUUGAUAUUUUGAAUGAUUUGCAUACCACAUUGCUUUACUCUCUGAGCGCAGCCAUUUCUUAACAACGAGCGCAGCCAUUUCUAAACAAUUUUUAACCAAUAUAGCUGAAACACGCAUUUUCAUUGGAUAAGCAUGAUGUAAUCCAAACAGGGUUGUUGUCUCCAUCCGCUAGAGGGUGCCACUCAAAGCUACGUAAAUCGCACUAAAUCUGCCAAGGGUUUGUAGAGAAGCGUAGCGGAUCGUAAACCCUUGGCUAGCGAAGAUGGGUUCUUCUAGAUGGUAAAUAUUACAGCUUUCAUAUUGCACAUGAGCAUUUCUUCUGACAAGAUCUUUCUACUGGUACCAAGAUAUUUUGUCCUUGUGGCCUUGGCCAUAUUUGGAAUUAACCAUUAUCGGGGGCAUUUGUGUUUCACAAACACAUCUUGUUCAGUAUGUUUCUUGUUAUAGUACAAAUGCAUGGUAUCUAAGCAAUUUUAUUUUAUUCUAAUGUGUAUUUAAAGAAACAUUAGAUUGUAGAGUUUUUCAGUAGGAAGCGCACAGCCUCUCAAUAUAUAAAAUUUCCAAAUAAGCUAUUUGCUGCAACUAUGGUUUGUUUACGUCAAGGUUCAUAUUGGAUUGAUUGACUGUAUCUUGUUUAAGGUCCCUCUCGAGAAUUUUUCACUCAUAUGGAGAUGUCACCCGUUCUUAAGGUCAUCUUCGAGGACCCGUGACAUUCACAUCUGAUACCGAGCGUUUGGCGAUAGAAUCUAAAUGGUACAACUACAGAUUGCUUUAACUGUAACAUUGGGGUCCGCCAAGGGGACAAUUUGUCACCUUUUCUCUUUUCCUUAUAUACCAAUGAUCUGGAACAGUUUUUGCUGGAUAAAAACGUUGUCGGUUCGCAAAGUGUAACAAGUAUACUUGAAGAUGAAUUAUAUGUAUAUCUGAAAGUUCUUAUUUUGCUAUAUGCUGACGAUACUGUUAUUAUGGCUGAAAGAGAUGUAGAUUUACAAAAUGCUUUAAAUGGUUUUUAUUUGUAUUGUUCACGAAGGAAACUGAAUGUAAAUGUUAACAAAACGUAAGAUUUUAAUAAUUUUUUCAAAAGGUCGAAUGCCGACUAAGACAUUCUAUUACAAUAGUAAUGCCAUAGAAACUGUAAAAGAAUUUUUUAAAGUAUCUAGGAAUUAUAUUUACUCGGUCAGGCUCUUUCUGUAAAUCAAAUAAACAUUUAUGUGAAGAAGCACAAAAGCGAUGCACGGUGUUCUGAAUAAGAUAAGUCAAUUCAAUUUACCUAUAGAAUCUCAGUUUGAUCUUUUUGAUAAUAUCGUUGUUCCAGUUUUGAUAUAUGGUUGUGAAAUUUGGAGUUAUGAAAAUCUUGAUAUUAUUAAACGUAUACAUUUAAAAUUUUUGAAACAUAAUUUUUAUUUAAAGAAUAGUACACCCUCCUAUAUGGUGUAUGGCGAAACUGGGCGUUUUCCAUUAUAUAUAAAUGUUUUUUAAAAGAAUGAUUUCUUUUUGGACUAAUCUACUGACUUGUACAGAAAACAAAAUUCUCUGUGUAUUGUAUAAAUUUUUACGUCUGCACAUUCUAAAAACGGUAUUAGCAAUUCCUGGAUAAAUUGUAUUCACAAAAUCCUGUCUUCAUGUGGUGUUCCAAACACACGGGACGGGCAAGAUUCUUUAGACAAAAAUAUGGUCCUUGCUAUUGUUAAACAACGUUUAAGUGAUCAAUUCAUUCAAAAAUGGGAACGUGAUAUUAAUAAUUAAUCAAAAAGCCAAAUCUAUAUAAUUUUAAAGUCCCACUUUGGUCGUGAAAAAUACCUUGAAAAUUUACCAAUUAAACUUAGAAAAAUAUUUAUCAAAUUCAGAACCUCGAAUCAUCGGCUCCCAGUAGAGACAGGCAGGUGGGCAAAUAUUCCUUUGGAUCAAAGAUUUUCUACACUUUGUAAGUCAGGUCAAAUUGCAGACGAGUUUCAUUUUAUUUUAGAAUGCAAAUCAUUGUGUGCCAUAAGAAAACAAUUUUUACAUUCAAGGUAUUGUACAAAUCCAAAUGUGGUUAAAUUUUCUGAAAUAAUGUCAACUUCAAGUGUUAACAAAUUGAGAAACCUAUGUUUGUUUAUAACAAAAAAAACCAAAACGAUUUAGUCUGUCCUCCAUAACCCAUACAUAUAAUCUAUUUUUGUUUUGUUUUUUUCUCGCUUCCUUCUUUUCUUUCCUUAUGUGAACAGGAUAUGUUUAUGUCUCUCUUUUCCCAUUGGAAUGUAUCACAUGUACUUGACCUCAUGUACCACGUGUUGUUAGUUUGAGUGAAUAAAGAAACUUGAACUGUUA